CUUUCAGCUUGUUGCUCUAAAUCAUAUACGUUUUGCUUUGGAACUUGUGUUGCUUGAUCGCUUGGAUGAGAUCUUGAGCUCUAAGGACGCGGAUAAGGGGAAGCUGGUCUGCCUACUCAUUGAGUACAUCACUCUCUGGUCCGCGACGAGCGAACUCGCGUUUCACAUGGCUCUGAUUUGGACGUCCUUCACGGAGAUCAGUCUGCAAGCUGUCAAUAUGCUUAACCAGCUGAUACCACUACUGCAGAACAAGCCCGAUUUCCUCUCAGCAGCGAACAGUCUGUACGGCACAGCGGAAAACGAGCGAACCGCCAGAUCAAUCAUCAGCAAAGCACCUACUAACGUUGAGAGAGUUAAUGAAUUAAAGGAAAAACAUACGAAGAAAUUGCAACGGGGUGAGAACGUUUUGGCUCAAUGGACGAGGGAUGCAAUAAAUAGCUACAACUUCAAGGAGUUCCUAAUCUGCACGUACUUCAACACUUCAAAAUCGGAGUAUAACAAUGGAAAACUGUAUUACCCUCUCUAUAACCUGCACUCGGGUGAUCUGACCAACGACCAAAAUCUCUAUACUCGCUUGAUCACACCAAGACAAAUUGAGAGUUUCCCAACAUUGGUAAAAGAAAUCCGUAACAUUUUCAAUUCCCUUUUAUUAAUUGAUGAUAUAUUCC